GGAGAAGGUGCGGAAAGGCCCAGGCAGCCAUUAGGAAUGGAACGCUGCUGGUGAUGAAGAGGCACUUUGCUGCUCUCCUGAAGACGUGGCAAGCCCCCAGGCAACUGUUACUCAAGGAAAACCACAUAGAAGGCUCUCCCAGACCACACCAUGUCAUUCAGCCCACUACUUGUCUACCAAAACCAGCAAGCUACCAAGACGAAGAAGCUCCUGAACUAUAAAGUGUGGGAAGAAGCUGGAAGUGAGGUGUCACUUUUCAUUCAAGGAUAACAUGGAAAGUCAUGUGAAGCAGUUGCUGAAGCCUUUGGACUCUAAUCUAAGGUGCUAUGUUUAAGCCCUAAUUAUUCUAUUGACA
rnacentral:sRNA from 1 species